CCUACGGGUGGCAGCAGUGGGGAAUGGUGCGCAAUGCUCGUAAGAGUGACGCAGCGACGCCGCGUGAAUGACGAAGGCCUUCGGGUCGUAAAGUUCUUUCGACAGGGAAGAAAAUGCAUAUAAGGAACUGUGUAGGUAUUGACGGUACCGGGAGAAGCAGCCCCGGCAAACUCCGUGCCAGCAGCCGCGGUAAUACGGAGGGGGCGAGCGUUGUUCGGAGCGACUGGGCGGAAAGAGCACGUAGGCGGUGUUGUAAGUCAUUAGUCAAAGACUAGAGCUCAACUUUAGUAAGGCUAGUGCUACUCUCAUACUAGCGUAUCAGAGAGGCUUGCAGACUUCCUGGUGUAGCG
rnacentral:rRNA from 1 species